UACGUAGGGUGCGAGCGUUAAUCGGAAUUACUGGGCGUAAAGAGUGCGUAGGCGGAAAUGUAAGUUAGAUGUGAAAUCCCCGAGCUUAACUUGGGAACGGCAUUUAAGACUGCAUAUCUAGAGUUUGUCAGAGGGGGGUAGAAUUCCAAGUGUAGCAGUGAAAUGCGUAGAGAUUUGGAGGAAUACCGAUGGCGAAGGCAGCCCCCUGGGAUAGAACUGACGCUGAGGUACGAAAGCGUGGGUAGCAAACAGG
rnacentral:rRNA from 1 species